AAAAAAAAAAAAAUCCUGAACUAUGAGGUUGAUUACAAUUUUGACAAAAUAUUGCUUGGGGUUUUAAUUGCUUCUACAAUAAGUUUUGAUUUGAUAUAUGGCUUGCACGAAAUGGUUUGAUAUAUAUAACAAACUUUUGAGAGAAGUUGUAAGUCUUGAUGCCGAGUUUUUCUACUGUAAUUCACAUGUGAUAUACAAAUUGCAAGUUGUCUAUACAAAUUGACAUUUAAAUCAUUUGCUUGAUGAUAGGUUUCUCUUAACUUCUAAUUUGCACAAUUUUUGGAGAGAGAAGUGAGAAUUUGAAGAAGCCAAAACUCUGCUGGGACUUGAAUUGAAAUUUUUUAAUGUUCUGGAUCACAAUCGUAAUAACAUUUUAAAUGAUAGCAUUUAAAUUGCAAUAAACACUAUACCUCAUUUUGCUUUUUUGGGAUACUUGUCCUUUACUUUUAUUUAAAUUCUAGAAAUUACAGUUCCAUAUUGUGUUUGGCUCAACUUAUUGUUGCAAAUGACAAUUGUUUUUCUUAUUCAAUAUGAUAUAUGGUGGCUUUUCCUCCCCUCUUUAAGGUGGUAUCUCAAGGGAGUGGGCAUGUUAUAUUCUUUUAGAUUUGAUUGUCAAUAAAACGUAA
rnacentral:misc_RNA from 1 species